UACGGAGGGUGCCAGCGUAAUCCGGAAUUACUGGGUUUAAAGGGAGCGUAGGCGGCUUAAUAAGCCAGGGGUGAACGCCUAUCGCUUAACGAUAGAAUUGGCUUUGAUACUGUAAAGCUUGAAAGGGGUUGAGGUCAGCAGACUGUGCCAUGUAGCGGUGAAAUGCAUAGAUAUGCCAUAGAACAUCGAUUGCGAAGGCAGCUGGCUGGGCCUACUUUGACGCUGAGGCACGAAAGCGUGGGGAGCGAACAGG
rnacentral:rRNA from 1 species